rnacentral:tRNA from 1 species
GGGCCCGUAGCUCAGUCGGUUAGAGCAGGGGACUCAUAAUCCCUUGGUCGGGGGUUCGAGUCCCUCCGGGCCUA